rnacentral:rRNA from 1 species
UAAUAAAGUUUACAAGUCAUUUUCAUAUGAGCUUGAUUGCAAGACCCACUCGUCGAGCAGGGACGAAAGUCGGCCUUAAU